GACUGGGGCUAAGUCGUAACAAGGUAGCCGUACCGGAAGGUGCGGCUGGAACACCUCCUUU
rnacentral:rRNA from 1 species